AUGUUGGAAUGCUAUUUUGUUUUUCUUACAGGACUGUGGCAGGGCUUCCUUUGGGAAGCAAUGGAAUGCAGUGACCUACUGUGUCCCUCAUACACUAAGAGGCUGAAAACACUGAUAAAACAGCAUGAUUUGAAAGGAUUGCAAGAUCUCAUCUCUGGCAAGAAAAUCACCGAAGUGUCUUCAGCUGAAGACAUCUGUGAUUUCUACCACGAGACUUGA
ensembl:lncRNA